rnacentral:lncRNA from 7 species
ACUGACACAAAUGACAGGACAAAGAAGCAUGCGUGGAAAUAAAAUGAAAAUUCAGAACAGAUGUCAGGACAUGUUUUUCAUGCUGAAUGUGCAGAGCGGUCAACCAGUGCAACUCUCCACAAUACAGAGUGAGACUUUCGUGUCUGUGUGUGUUCCUGGCAUGUCCAACACGGCUACUGAUUUCAAGAGGAGCUCAAGGAAUGUGCAGAAGUUGAACACAGACAUCGGACAGCUUUUCACUGAAAAUGAUGAAAUCAGUAAGUUCUCCCUGCCUCCAACAAAAUUCAAUAUUGAUUGAACAGCAGCAUAUGACAACCAGGUUAUUCCUGGGCAGCAGUAGCUGCCCCCACCAUAGAACCAAGUGCUGAAGAUCUUGCUGUGCUUGGACCAUACUGGUGAGUGCUCAGGGUUCAGGAAAACCACAGCAGAAUCUGAAGGAAAUAUCUAGCCCUGAACUGGGACUGGGAUUGAAGAUGCAGCAGCACUCUAGGUUGCCAUAUGGCCACAUGAGAAAAAGCAAGGCUGAUCCAGUAACCUGUCUCCAAGCUACUUUCUUAAACUUACCUAUGCCAACCCUGAAAAUGAAGUAAGCAGUAAAGCUAGCAAUGGCUACAAAAACUGUUCUCAUUUUAUUUUCCUUUUGUGAUGAAUUAUAUUAAGGGAAGGUAGGAAAAGGAUCCUGGCAUGGUGAAAACAAAGUACUGUACUGAAGUACGUGCACAAAUCAGUGAGGACAAACAUUCUGUUUGUAUUCUAAAUGCAUUCUAAAAUAUUUCCUGUAAUAUUGACAUGAGAUUCUUUUUUUUCCACCCCCUCCACCAAAAUUAUGUAAAAUCAUGUAACCUGUGGCUUCUGCCCUUGGGCUAACUCACACGCUUUCUCUUUGAACAUUAUUCAAGUUUCAUUCCCUAGAAUGUGCAUAACUUGCAGACAAGCUGAGACAGAGGCUGUUCUGGCUUUGGCUCAUUAUAGGUGUGCACACGUGUGUAUAUGUAAAUAUAUACAUUUACCUAGCACACAUACAUAUAAAAAUGGUGCAAACAUCAGUGAUGGAAGGAGCAAUAAGAAACUUUCUAAGUAGGGAAAGUAUCCCAAAACCAUGCCUUAAUGCAGACUUCAGUCCACAGAUCACUGCAAAUCACCAAGCAUGAAAAUAAAAGAUGUGAUUUGAUACAUACCCUGUUUUUCUGGCAAAACACCAAUUUGUGACACAGCACCAGAAAAUGAACCAAUUUAAAUAUGUCAUUGAGCUUUUAAAAAAAUAAAAUAAAAUAACAUAGAAUAACAACAGUUCUAAAGGCAAGUUACUUUUUCUACUGACAACCACAGAACCAAGUUUAGAAAUAAUUCUGAUAGCAAUAGUUUCAAUAAUAAUACUUUGAAUGAACAUCAGCUUUUGUAGAAUAAAUUUAAACUGAGUCUGAAAAAAGAGAUUAUAAGCUCUAGAUCAUAUCUAGUUAAUCUUGUGUUAGUAUCAUCAUUCUUCAUUAAACUAACAAUGUGUAAUAGACAUGGGCACUAAACAUAUAUACCCUCACAACAGAUAACCGUAACAACGCAGAUAUGAUAAUGAUAUAUCAAAUGAAAAAUACUGUAAUUCUUAUCUAAAUACAUAUGUGGGUACGUGUAUAAAUAUACAUAUAUCUAUAUGCCUGUUGGCAGACUCAUAGACCCCUGCUGGGGAACACACUCUCACAGCAAUAAUUAAUUACAAAUAUACUGUAACCUUUGCUACAGGAAAUCCUACUUUGUUCAAGAAUAUUAAUUUUUAAACAUCCAUACAGAAUUUCACACCAGCAGCAAAAACUCAAAGUUGUCAGCAUCAUCAGUGACUGAGAGACUCAAGAAACACCUCCACAACUGUCCUCAUGUUUACCUCCUUUAUAAAUGUCUUUGCUUGUGGAAGAGCUGCUGAAGAAUUAAACCACCCUAAAGAGCGCUGCUCAGUUACAAUCUUUAGAUAGGAAUACAGAGAGUUGCUAUAACCCAUUUCUGUAAAAAGAAGGAAAAUAUUUUGGUUUGUACUUUGAGAAAUCCCAAUACCUUUCAGCCACACUGCAGAUUAAUAUAAAUAAAUAAA